UCCUACGGGAGGCAGCAGUCAGGAAUAUUGCGCAAUGGAGGAAACUCUGACGCAGCGACGCCGCGUGGGUGAUGAAGGCCUUCGGGUCGUAAAGCCCUGUCGGGUGGAACGAAACGCUUGGCGGCGAAUAACCGCUAGGUUUGACGGUACCACCGAAGGAAGCCCCGGCUAACUACGUGCCAGCAGCCGCGGUA
rnacentral:rRNA from 1 species